rnacentral:tRNA from 1 species
UCCGGCAUGGUCUAGUGGCUAGGAUACCUGGCUCUCACCCAGGAGGCCUGGGUUCGAUUCCCGGUGUCGGAA